AUGGCAUGAUGAGGGCACUUCCUAAGCAUCUCUUUAAAUAUUUCCUAUACUUCAUAUAUUGACUCUCCAUAAAUUUGGGAAAAUGAAGAUAUUUCGUUCCUAAGCUU